rnacentral:rRNA from 1 species
AGUGAACGCUGGCGGUAGGCCUAACACAUGCAAGUCGAACGGCAGCACAGUAAGAGCUUGCUCUUACGGGUGGCGAGUGGCGGACGGGUGAGGAAUACAUCGGAAUCUACUUUUUCGUGGGGGAUAACGUAGGGAAACUUACGCUAAUACCGCAUACGACCUACGGGUGAAAGCAGGGGAUCUUCGGACCUUGCGCGAUUGAAUGAGCCGAUGUCGGAUUAGCUAGUUGGCGGGGUAAAGGCCCACCAAGGCGACGAGCCGUAGCUGGUCUGAGAGGAUGAUCGGCCACACUGGAACUGAGACACGGUCCAGACUCCUACGGGAGGCCGCAGUGGGGAAUAUUGGACAAUGGGCGCAAGCCUGAUCCAGCCAUACCGCGUGGGUGAAGAAGGCCUUCGGGUUGUAAAGCCCUUUUGUUGGGAAAGAAAAGCAGCAGGUUAAUACCCCGCUGUUCUGACGGUACCCAAAGAAUAAGCACCGGCUAACUUCGUG